rnacentral:tRNA from 1 species
CCAAAUGUAGCUCAUAGGUAGAGCGCUCGACUGCUAAUCGAGGUGUAGCAGGUUCGAUUCCUGCCAUUUGAC